rnacentral:rRNA from 1 species
GUGCGGAAGGGAUAAGUGCUGAAAGCAUCUAAGCAUGAAGCCCCCCUCAAGAUGAGAUUUCCCAUAGCGUAAGCUAGUAAGAUCCCUGAAAGAUGAUCAGGUUGAUAGGUUCGAGGUGGAAGCAUGGUGACAUGUGGAGCUGACGAAUACUAAUAGAUCGAGGACUUAACCAUAUAA